rnacentral:rRNA from 1 species
UACAGAGGGUGCGAGCGUUAAUCGGAAUUACUGGGCGUAAAGCGUGCGUAGACGGUUAUUUAAGUCGGAUGUGAAGGCCCCGGGCUCAACCUGGGAAUUGCAUUCGAGACUGAAUAGCUAGGGUACGGUAGAGGGAAGUGGAAUUUCCGGUGUAGCGGUGAAAUGCGUAGAUAUCGGAAGGAACAUCAGUGGCGAAAGCGACUUCCUGGACCAGUACCGACGUUCAGGCACGAAAGCGUGGGGAGCAAACAGG